rnacentral:rRNA from 1 species
GACAGAGGAGCCAAGCGUUGUCCGGAUUUACUGGGCGUAAAGCGCACGCAGGCGGAUGCGCGCGUGGGGUGUGAAAUCUGGCCGCUUAACGGCCAGGCGCCAUCCCAUACGGCGCGUCUGGAGUGAUGCAGAGGUCGAUGGAAUUGCCGGUGUAGUGGUGAAAUGCGUAGAUAUCGGAAGGAACAUCAGUGGCGAAAGCGACUUCCUGGACCAGUACCGACGUUCAGGCACGAAAGCGUGGGGAGCAAACAGG